ensembl:lncRNA
GGCGGGACCACCUCCGCGUCUCCUGGAGCCGGGCUGGAGGCCUCGGGACCAGGCCCGGGGGAGCGGGGAGGCGCGGGCAGGCACCCUUGCUUGCAACCUCGCCCCCUCCUCCGAGUGGUUCGGACCACUCCAGCAGCCCCGGCCCGGCUCCCGGCGCCUACGGGCCCAUUGGGCCCCAGGAAUGGAAGGCAGAAAACUUGGGGAAGAUCCCACGUCCUCAGAGCCUGUGCUUUCUGUAACAAGAGAAGCCACUGCAAUGAGAAGCCCUCCCAGCACAUGUAGAGAGCAGACCCCGCACAGCACAAGGAGAGAAAAGCGAAGUUUUUUAGAAAAGCUUGCAAGAAGGAAGGCCAAGUGACACCCCAUCUGGAACAUCCUGGUGGCCCCAGAUAGGCGCAGCUUUCUGAGAACCUGGGGGAGCCGUCUGCUUCGGUAUCUCCAGCGGCUGGAAGAGCGCCGAGCCAAACGCUCAGGAGGUGUUGUGUUGGUUUCCCAUGGCUGUCACACAAAGGACCACGAAUGAGGGGCUGAGGGGGUGGUUCAGGGCGGGGGUGGAAGGCCCAGGCAACAGAACCGUAUUCUCUCCGCAUGCUGGAGGCCAGAGGCCUUAGAUCAAGAUGCUGGGCAGGGUCAGCUCUCUCUGAAGGCUCUGAGAGGGAGUCCAGCCCACACCUCCCUCCCGAAUGAUCCUUGGCUUGCAGCUGCAUCCCUCUCUGUUCCGUCUUCUCUCUGUAUCUGAAUGUCUCCAUGUCUCUGUUUUCUCUUCUUAUGAGGACACUAGGCAUUGGAUUAGGGUCCACCCUACUCCAGUAUGUGUGUGUGUGUGAGCUCAGUCGUGUCCGACUCUUUGAAAUCCCGUGGACUGUAGCCCACCAGGCUCCUCCGUCCGUGGGAUUCUCCAGGCAAGAAUACUGGAGUGGGUUGCCAUUUCCUUCUCUGUUGGGAGCCAGCACGGGAGUCCCCACCCAUAACAAGGUUAUGUGGGAGAGUUCUGGUGGGCAAGGUGAGCCAGAACUCGAGGGGUGCCCCUCUGGGCCUGCCUGAGUGUCUACCCCCAAACCAGAGUCUGCCUACUUUACUGCUUUGUGCUCUCACCUACACCUCUGACUUUACAGGGGGCUGUCCCCCACCACCUUUUCUUUGAAGGAAGUCAACUUAGAGCUCUGGCUAAUUAACCUCUUGGGCAUAAUAGGAGUGUUUAAAUCCAAACCCCUCAGAUGGCUCUCUAACUUGCCUGACAGGCUUACCCGGACUCCUACAGCUAUGCAUACGAUUGUUUACAGUCUCCCAACCGUGAGAGGCAUGGGGAGCUUAAGAUAUUCAAAUAGUAUAGAGCCUUAUAGUAUAGAGAGUUAGAAAUUGUCAGAAUAGAACUAGUAGAAGAUUUCAUUGUUGAGCCAAUGCUUGCUGCCAAGUUUCCACAUCCCCUGUAUUGUAUCCUUGGAAGUGUAUUAAUUAAUAUAGUUGGUAUGUAGAAAAAAUAAGUGGUGGCCUUGGUGUUAACAACUUUAGAUCCUUAAGGUAAUAAAUUCUUUCCUUUGUUGUAAACCCACUGCACCUCUGCCCUGUAGGAAUGCAACUUUAUCUAACGCCUUCGGAGGAUGGCGCCAAACUUUAAAAUAAUUACUCUUAGAGAAAAUAAGUCUUAUGGUUGACAAACCUUUGUCAGAGUCAUAAAAUGUUAACAGGCCUUCUGGCCAUGAUGUAAAUCACCUAAACCAUUUGUAUACGAUGUUUGCAGAAAAGAAACCCUGGUUUCGAUAAGGAUCAAAGACUGCUGACUUUGCAUGAUUUCACACCCCCUAUUAUCCUCUAUGUGCAACUUAGGGUAUAAAAGCCCCUGUUGAAAAUAAAGCUACGGGCCUUGCUCACCGAAGCCUGGUCUCCCCAUGUCAUUCUUUCUCUCACCUUCUGGCUGAAUUCCCAUCUGGAGCCUGGAGGCUCGUCAAGCCUACUAAUUUUGCCUGGGCUUCUAAGAUCUGACCAGGGAGGCCUUAGUGUCUCCUCUCCUUCGGGAGAAUGGAAGGAUGCCUGCAGCCUACGUAGGUGACACAAACUCCUUGUCUCAGAGUUUUAUUGGUUUUCCACGUAAACCAAGUUAUUCAGCCUCUUUUCUCCACUGAAUUUUCUCACUGAGCUAUCCCUAUUUAACCACUCUUUAUAUCUCUAAUUAAUACUUAAUUAAACUAUUGCUAUUCUAAAUU